GGGGCUAUAGCUCAGCUGGGAGAGCGCUUGCAUGGCAUGCAAGAGGUC
rnacentral:tRNA from 1 species